UACGUAGGUGGCAAGCGUUGUUCGGAAUUAUUGGGCGUAAAGAGCUCGUAGGCGGCUUGUCGCGUCGACUGUGAAAACCCGCGGCUCAACCGCGGGCCUGCAGCCGAUACGGGCAGGCUAGAGUUCGGUAGGGGAGACUGGAAUUCCUGGUGUAGCGGUGAAAUGCGUAGAUAUCGUAAGGAAGACCAGUGGCGAAGGCGGGUCUCUGGACAGUUCCUGACACUGAGACACGAAGGCCAGGGGAGCAAACGGG
rnacentral:rRNA from 1 species